ensembl:lncRNA
UGUAACGCCAUAUGACUUCCUAAUAGGCUAUUGUUUAUGAUGUUUCCAAGGAACUGAUUGGGUUACUUGGGUAAUUCCUUACCACUCCUCUGCGUCAGUGUUUUUGUAAUGCUGCAACCAAUAUGGCUUCAUGAAUAUUAAUGCAUGUUAAAUUUGCUUGAAGCUGUGAGAAAUAUAAACUGUUAAAUCUGCAGAAUAUACUGUCAUUUAGAAAUGACGAGUGCAUGAUUCACAUAUAAAUUACUCCGCAGAUUUAAAUUAAUAGUUCACCUGUAAAUUAAAAAUUGUCAUGAUUUACCUGUGAUUCGUUUGUUUUACUUUUUUAAUGCUGAAUUUUUAUUUUAUUAUUUUAUUUUCAGGUUUCUCUUUUCCAUACAACUUCCAGGGGGCUUCCAAAGGGGCUUCUUUUAAUUGAUCCCCAGUGUGAGCGAUCGAGGAGGAAGAGAGGGAACC